rnacentral:rRNA from 1 species
GACGAACGCUGGCGGCGUGCUUAACACAUGCAAGUCGUACGGUAAGGCCCUUUCGGGGGUACACGAGUGGCGAACGGGUGAGUAACACGUGAGUAACCUGCCCACAACUUUGGGAUAACGCUAGGUAACUGGUGCUAAUACUGGAUAUGUGCUCCUGCUGCAUGGUGGGGGUUGGAAAGCUCCGGCGGUUGUGGAUGGACUCGCGGCCUAUCAGCUUGUUGGUGGGGUAGUGGCCUACCAAGGCGGCGACGGGUAGCCGGCCUGAGAGGGUGACCGGCCACAUUGGGACUGAGAUACGGCCCAGACUCCUACGGGAGGCAGCAGUGGGGAAUAUUGCACAAUGGGCGCAAGCCUGAUGCAGCAACGCCGCGUGCGGGAUGACGGCCUUCGGGUUGUAAACCGCUUUCAGCAGGGACGAAGCUUUUUGUGACGGUACCUGCAGAAGAAGCACCGGCUAACUACGUG